GAUGAACGCUGGCGGCGUGCCUAAUACAUGCAAGUCGAGCGAAUGGAUUAAGAGCUUGCUCUUAUGAAGUUAGCGGCGGACGGGUGAGUAACACGUGGGUAACCUGCCCAUAAGACUGGGAUAACUCCGGGAAACCGGGGCUAAUACCGGAUAAUAUUUUGAACUGCAUGGUUCAAAAUUGAAAGGCGGCUUCGGCUGUCACUUAUGGAUGGACCCGCGUCGCAUUAGCUAGUUGGGGAGGUAACGGCUCACCAAGGCAACGAUGCGUAGCCGACCUGAGAGGGUGAUCGGCCACACUGGGACUGAGACACGGCCCAGACUCCUACGGGAGGCAGCAGUAGGGAAUCCUGCGCAAUGGGCGAAAGCCUGACGCAGCGACGCCGCGUGGGUGAUGAAGGCCUUCGGGUUGUAAAGCCCUUUCAGCGGGGAAGAAACGUCCGUCGUCAAAUAGCCGGCGGACCUGACGGUACCCGUAGAAGAAGCCACGGCUAACUCCGUGCCAGCAGCCGCAGUAA
rnacentral:rRNA from 1 species